GAUUUUUAAAAGCUCAUCCGCCAACACAAGGCGCUGAAUGUUGAAAGAUGAACAUUCGAAGAAAAUGUGAUGUAGUGAUUGAAUUUUUUGUGAUUGACAAUAUUCGCAAUAGGGAGAAUUAGCCAUUUUAAUACGAUGAAGAUGACAAUUUAAUCUAUAAUGACCAAAACGCAUACGACAAAUAAUUGAAUAAAAUUUUCUAUUGAUAAAAUUAUUUUUCUUGCAAAACCAAGGAGUGGAGUUUAUUUGGACAUCCAUACUAGCAAACCAGUUUCCUUUAUUUUCAUGGAUAAAUUAUAUGAAAUAUGGACACCCAAAAAUUUCACUUCAGAUGUAGUGGGUAACAAACAAUUAUUAUAUUGCACAGCAGGUGUACUGUGACAAUGUUUACCAAAUACAAUAACUUUAGACUUGGAUGGAUUCACACUGAGAUCAAGGAAUCCCUAUUUGUAAUAACUCAAGGCAUAGAAUAUCUAUGUUUACACUAUUAAAAGCACCUGCGAUGUCAAA